rnacentral:lncRNA from 1 species
GGUUUUAAGCAAAUUUUAACAUCUUUUUCGACUAAAAGUUAUUUGCAACCGUUGCACAUGUAGCUAACUUACGCGUCACAGACCCAUGAUUGUCAGGUUAACUAUACAUCACAAUGUAAUCAAUUUCAAUUGUGUAUUUUUUCAUUGGAUGUAUGGCAUUGGUGACCUGGGAGCAGCCAGUCGUAUGUCUUGAAAUUGUUAACACAUGUACAUGUGUAAACAACUAUGUGUUACCAAAAGUAACGCAUGGUGUUCUCACCAAUGGGUGUGUAAGAAAGCUAAAAUAAUGUAUUCUAAUACAACUAAUAUAUAAUCUUAUUUUUCUUUGAAUAGAUUUUGUGUUAAAUCAGACGGUUGAGUUCUGCAGUUAAGUGUAAUACAUACUCCAAAAAAGUGGUACAUACCACAUUUCCUCUCAACUGCUGCUCUCACUCAGCCUUGUGUGUGCUAUUUUCAGCAUUGUCAUAUAUCAGCUAAAUAUAAUUUUUAUAACUUACAAAACGGCAGUGAUCAGUUUUAAAACAGCACUGUUUCAAAAUGAUAUGUAAAAAAUCCUGAUGAUGUAAAUAUUUGGUGAGAUAAAAUAAACAGAUCACUAUUUUAGCACAUACUAACAAAUACAAAAUUCACAAGUAAGGUAAUACAGAUCUAUAUUUUUUAUGCAUGUAUAUAAAUACUAUUUCAAUGAAUUGUCAUUGUUGCUUAUGUUACUUCCCCCGAACAGACAACUGGACUAGGUGAAGAUUGGUAUAGAUAGGUUUCUUUAUUCUGGAGAAUAUGGUUUUAUAGUCAAAACAAACCCUUGAGCUGUGGGCUUUAGGGCGGUAACAUCAUCAAAACAGUCAAAAUGUCAAUUAUCCCUGCAUAGUUCAAAUGCAGAUCGAGAGUAUGUAGCCUGUGUAAAUCGUGACAGGUGAAAGAAUGUCAGGUAAGUGACAAUGACCAACUGGGUCAAACACAGCUGGCCAGUCUAUUGGUUGAUCGGCAUUGUCCCUGGUCAGAGGUUAGAUAUUUAGAUAAGUAAAUGCAUGUCCCUACAGUUCCUAGCCAAAGGUUUAGGUGCAUGUGUUUUGUGCAUAAUAAAAUCAUGAAAACAAAACCCACAUGGUUACACUUAUUUAUUUAUUUUUAAUUUAGUUUUAGAAGCACUAGCAAAUGGUGGACAAAACAUGGUAACUGAGGACGUUUCUGGUAAGCCAGAGCAUUUACAUGCAGUAUAGAUUAACAAUGAUAGAUCCUCUAAUAUACAGUAUUUGCUACGUUGAAGUUUACAUUUGGACAAAACGUGGUAACUGAGGACGUUUUUGGUAAGCCAGAGCAUUUACAUGCAGUAUAGAUUAACAAUGAUAGAUCCUCUAAUAUACAGUAUUUGCUACGUUGAAGUUUACAUUUGGACAAAACGUGGUAACUGAGGACGUUUUUGGUCAGCCAGAGCAUCUACAUGCAGUAUAGAUUAACAAUGAUAGAUCCUCUAAUAUACAGUAUUUGCUACGUUGAAGUUUACAUAUUGGACAAAAUGUGGUAACUGAGGAUGUUUCUGGUAAGCCAGAGCAUCUACAUUAACAAUGAUAGAUCCUCUAAUAUACAGUAUUUGCUACAUUGAAGUUUACAUUUGAACAAAACGUGGUAACUGAGGACGUUUCUGGUAAGCCAGAGCAUCUACAUUAACAAUGAUAGAUCCUCUAAUAUACAGUAUUUGCUACGUUGAAGUUUACAUUUGGACAAAACGUGGUAACUGAGGACGUUUCUGGUAAGCCAGAGCAUCUACAUGCAGUAUAGAUUAACAAUGAUAGAUCUUCUAAUAUACAGUAUUUGCUACGUUGAAGAUUACAUUUGGACAAAACGUGGUAACUGAGGACGUUUCUGGUAAGCCAGAGCAUCUACAUGCAGUAUAGAUUAACAAUGAUAGAUCCUCUAAUAUACAGUAUUUGCUACGUUGAAGUUUACAUUUGGACAAAACGUGGUAACUGAGGACGUUUCUGGUAAGCCAGAGCAUCUACAUUAACAAUGAUAGAUCCUCUAAUAUAUACAGUAUUUGCUACGUUGUAGUUUACAUUUGGACAAAACGUGGUAACUGAGGACGUUUCUGGUAAGCCAGAGCAUCUACAUGCAGUAUAGAUUAACAAUGAUAGAUCCUCUAAUAUACAGUAUUUGCUACGUUGAAGAUUACAUUUGGACAAAACGUGGUAACUGAGGACGUUUCUGGUAAGCCAGAGCAUCUACAUGCAGUAUAGAUUAGCAAUGAUAGAUCCUCUAAUAUACAGUAUUUGCUACGUUGAAGUUUACAUUUGGACAAAACGUGGUAACUGAGGACGUUUCUGGUAAGCCAGAGCAUCUACAUUAACAAUGAUAGAUCCUCUAAUAUACAGUAUUUGCUACGUUGUAGUUUACAUUUGGACAAAACGUGGUAACUGAGGACGUUUUUGGUAAGCCAGAGCAUCUACAUGCAGUAUAGAUUAACAAUAAUAGAUCCUCUAAUAUACAGUAUUUGCUACGUUGAAGUUUACAUUUGGACAAAACGUGGUAACUGAGGUCGUUUCUGGUAAGCCAGAGCAUCUACAUGCAGUAUAGAUUAACAAUGAUAGAUCCUCUAAUAUACAGUAUUUGCUAUGUUGAAGUUUACAUUUGGACAAAACGUGGUAACUGAGGACGUUUCUGGUAAGCCAGAGCAUCUACAUGCAGUAUAGAUUAACAAUGAUAGAUCCUCUAAUAUACAGUAUUUGCUACGUUGAAGUUUACAUUUGGACAAAACGUGGUAACUGAAGACGUUUUUGGUAAGCCAGAGCAUCUACAUGCAGUAUAGAUUAACAAUGAUAGAUCCUCUAAUAUACAGUAGUAUAUACGUUGUAGUUUACAAUUGGAAUUUGAAAAUAUUCAAAGCUUCUGGGUAUUACCUUUCCAGUAGACAUUUUUACUAAAUUGUUAACAUUUGUAAUCUAUACAAUACUGUUUAAAAAAUAUAUAUAUUCUGGCAGUGUUAUUUGUAUAAACUUGCACAAUUAGGUAAAAUAACCAAUAAAAUAAUUUAUUCUGUCCAAAAAUAUAUACUUUAUUAAUCCACAACAAGCUUCCAUAAAUAGAAUGAUAGAUUUAAACAGUGGUAACAUUUUGUUCAAGGAAUACCAUAAACAUUUAAAAAAGAUUUAGCAGGUUUAUGACAUUUUUCAUAUUGCUUGUUAUGUGGUACUUAGUCAAAUUACUUACAAUUUCUUUUAGCCUCAUCUAAUUCUUACUUUAUUUUUUUUCAUUUCAUAUUUUUAGAAGAAACAAGUGAUCAAGCAAAUGUGUUGAUUAUAAACAAACCAGAAACUGAUGACAUUCCACGCAAGUAUUUAAAUAUCACAACAACAACCCAAAAAUAUUUACUUUCUAUUGCACUUACUUCAGUAAUAAAAUGAGGCUUAGAUAUUUAAAAAACAACAACAUAUUUAGAAAUACAUAGACAAUUACUGGUAUAUUAUAAAUUUUAUUAUUUGAUAAAUGUUUGAAUGAUAGGCUUGAAUCACAAGUAAACCGAAAUUAUAAUAUAUAAUAUGUUUUAAAUUGAGUUAAUUUGAUUUUUAGUUACAGUUGUCAGACACCGAAAGAGGAAAUUGGCAGAUCGGAAAAUUGCAUCAAAAAAUAAAAAGAGUUUGUCUGCAGAUGUGUACAUUCAAGAAAAAAUAAUUGAAAAAAGAAAAAUUGGCAAGAGGACUGAAUAUUUAGUCAAGUGGGAAGGAUUUGAUUCAGAUGAAUGAUUUUUUUUGGACAAAACUUUAAUCAAUGAAUUUAAUAACUUAAAAAAGUAAAAUACACAUAAAAUCAAAAUUUAUCAAUCUUCAGGCAUCGAAACGAGUCGAGAACAGUCGUUCAGGUUUUUACCUAUCAGUAAAGUUGAGAAUUUUUUGAUGAAAGUGAAGUAAUUUGUAGUGAACUUUUCUAGUGUUCAAGUUUGUUUUAUUCACAAUUUCAUUUUAAAACCAAAAACAAAAAGUAUUGACAUGUUUUGACUCAUUGCUUUUUAUUUACUUAUUUUAUACUAGCCAUUAAACGCAACAUAUAUAAAUGUAUGUAAUAAAUGUUAGUGUGUGUGUCCGUCAGUGGAACAAUAAAGGAAUUUUUGUACUUCUGAAAUGAAAAAAACCUGAUUUGGUAAAAUACUAAAACUGAAAGUGAGAAAAUCUGAAACGGAAAUCGGUGCCUCUGAAAUAUGUGACACCUACAUACAAAGUAUUAAUACAAUGAGAACAGUGAUGUGAAUAAAUCACAAAUAUAUUAUACUGCUCAUCGUGCAUGUAUGUAAGGAAUUUAACACCAAUAAUGAUUGGAAUCGUAAACUGGAUAAAUGUGUGGUAACCUAUAGGUUACCAGGACCAUGUUUUGUAGUAACCUGUAAAUGGGUUUCCAGACACAUUCCUUAUUUCAGUGCCUGAUCAUGAGAAACUGAUGUAAAUCAUUCUAGAAUAUGUAGGUUUGUCUUAAUUUUUCUCAAACAUUUAUAAUCAAAGUUAUUAUCAUUUUUAAAUUAUGCUCUGUAGUUGUAGUAUUUAUGUAGCCAAAACCAUAGCAACUAAUUUGAUCAUUUUAUGUUAUGGAUGUCCAAUAGUUCACCAAGUAAUUCAAUUCUUGUUAACCACCACUUCAUAACCAUUAACAUAAGUUUUUAAAAUGGGCCUAACAAAUUAAAUAUUCUUAUCUGAGCAACAUUGUAUUUGGUAAACAAAUACUGCAUUAGAUGAUUGCUAUUAGAUGACUGCUUUCUAUUAAAUCCUGAUACUAAUUAAAUACAAAUUUAAAGUUGAAAUUGUUGCCAUAUUGAAAUAUAACACAAACCUGGGUACCUCAUUUGUAGAGUUUUGGGCGAAAGUGGCAGAUUUUGUAGGGGUUAAUAUCCCCAAUAAUAUUAUUGAAAACCCUGGACAUUAACCCUGCCCAUUUUGCCAUUUCAUAUUUGGCACAUAGUAUUAGUGACUGACAACCCAGUUAUUAAAAAGACUUUAUUUCAAGAUGCCAAUAAUGAUACUUACAAUAAUUUUACAGAUGGGUCCAAGGACCCAAUAUCUGGAAGGACAGGAUCUAAUUAAUGAAAUAUUGAUAUUUUAUUUUCAACUUUUGGAUGGAGAAAAUAAAAUUAUUCUGGAAGGGGUACCAUAUAGGAAUUUUUGUAAUUGAAAUGGCCGACUGCCUUGCCAAAAAGGCUCUGAUAGAAUUUUCAGUUAACAAAAAUAUAUGCCUAGGCGUGUCAGAAAUCAUGUCCCUUACUACAUUAAAGCUUAAUAAAAAUUGGCAGGAGUAGUAGGACCAAACCACAAGAUAUUGGCACCAAGUUUUAAAAACGAAGGUAGAUGCCCCUGGUCCAGUUCGGGAGAAUAAUAAAAACACAAACAUUAUUACAAAAUUAAGAACAGGGAUUUCGGCUGCCCUGGCAUUUGUACAGAAUAGGGCUAAAAGAAUCCCCUAAUUGUUUAAUUUGUAAAGUUGAAGAAGAUAACAAGCAUUUCUUAAUGAUUUGACCAAUAACGCUCCAUAUGUUUUGGUAUUCUUCAAGGUUUAGGACUCUGCCCCAACAAAACAAACAGUGAUGUUGUUUUUAAAGCAGUCUUGCAAUAUGUCAUGGACACUGGGGUGCCAAUAUAAUGAGCACUGGCCCUUGCAUACAAUAAAAUAACUUCAUUUAUGGAAUAGUAAGGGGGCAGUGGGCUCUCCGCCACGAGGUAACGGGUACCGACACUCGGGAGUGGGGUAGUUCCUUGUCCCCCUUGAAAAAUAAAAAUAAACUUAAAUUGCAACUCCUUCCCACUGCGAGCUAACCGGUACUGACACUUUGGGAUGGAGUCGGACCUGUCCUUUACACAUAACCCCCCCCCCCCUAUUUUUGCUUGUACAUGCAGUGAGGUGAUAGAAGCCCAUCAGAAAGGUGUGGAUAGGUUGAAGUAGAACUGAAUUUUUUUUUCUAAAUGAAGAAAAUUUCAAUAUGCUUUUUUUUAUAUAGUAUUGGUUGAAAUGAGUUUUCUUUUUUGUGUGCUAAAUAUUAUUUUAUAGUAAAAGACAUAUUUAUAAAAUGUAUAACAUGUAUGUUAUAAAACUGGAGAUAUAACACAAUUUUGCAAUUGAUAUGUUUAAGAUAUAUGUGGGACAAUUGGAUUGUGAUUCCAGUAUUUUUUUAUACUAGGUAUGCUUUGUUGUUUAAUAAAUACUUUUAAAAGAAAAA